rnacentral:lncRNA from 1 species
GCAAUUAGUGACCACUUUGAAUGAGCCUGAGGAUCCCGUGGCAAUAUCAGCAGUGCUAAGUGAUUUUAUGGCAUGGUUAGUCUUCUCCAUGAGGGUGGCAUCAAAUGAUUGCAAGCGUGGAUCUAGCUUACAAGCAUCCUCGUAGGAGUUAAAAUCUUCCGCGAAUUGGGAAUGGGUGCUGCUUUGAACAGGUGGUGGUGGGAUAUCACCACCUCUAGUCUUGCAAGAUUGAUCGCCUCUCUUCAUAUCCAAAUGACAGCUGAUAAAAGUAAAAGAAAACUCAAAGUAAGAAAAAGAUGAGAUCUUUUUUCACUUCAAAUGCUUUCUAACAAUAAAAAUAUCAAAUUUAAGCAAUACUAAGAAAUUAAGUUGAGUCACAGAACUCAAGAAAUCCAGUUAACUGACAAAAUCAUCCAAAACUGAAACAAGACACGCUUAUGGAAUAAGAAAACACCCAAAUUAACAACUUUUGAUCUGAUAUCUAGAACCCAGAAUCAAUCCUUCACUUGACUACAGGAUUAAGAGUAAAUGAAUUGAAGGACCUGGAAAAAAAAAAACAGAGAGAAAUUCAUAAAGCAGGCUUUGGGGGCACUAGUCAGCUUACAUUAUAGUCCUUGUAUCGUUUGAGCUUCAACUGCCUGAAAAAUUCACCUGAAAAUGAAAAGGUACGAGUAAUUACUUCCUCUCGCUACAAAACGCUAAGAUCUUGUGUUUUUGUGUAUGUUGGACAGUAGAUUUUUGAGAAAGAGGUUUUUAUGAGCGACGUGAUUAGAAGAGAGGAGGACUUGAGGCAGUCUUACAACGAGAUAAGUUGAAAGACCGGAAGUAAAGAGAAAAUGCAAGGAAAUGUACUGAAAGACACAUUACUGUCCUCAAAGAGGACACAACCGCAGGUUUUUCUAGAGCUGGAAGAUUCAACUACGCGUAUGGAAGUGGUUUUUUCUUGCACAAUACUUUAUGAUUAUUGUUAUUAUUUGUGAACAGCGGCUGCUUUGAUCAGAUGGAAACAAAGGAAGCUGAUAAGGAAAUAGUCAAGGUUGUCAAUUUCGUUCCAUUUCGUCCGGAAUGGUCGAAAUAUUCUAUACCAAUUCAAAAAACGAAAUAAAACGGAAUAAAUUUUAUCUCAUUUUAAAUCUCGGUCCGUUCCGGAUUUUUCGGCUAAAUUCCGCCCGAAACAUUCCGGUUUCAUUUCACGUGUUCCGUUCUGCUCUUGAAAAACCAUUAAAUCAAAUUGAACCUUGCUCAAUUUCAUUAAUUAAACCACCCGAUUAUAAAAAGCUCUUUUUCAUUACUAUUUUCAAUAGUAAUGGUAUUAAUAAUAAUAUUGAAAAUUAUUAUUAUUAUUUUCAUUAACAAUGAUAUUAAUUUUUUAAAAUUAGAUUUAUCACUAAUAUAUAUGGUUUAUAUCCAUGUUUUUUUUUUUCAUGUUUAUACUUUGUAGGAAUUUGAGCAAAACAAUGCAUGUUUUUGAUUCCAUUAGCCACUUGAUAACAUUGACUUAACUUUAUAUUUAAAAUAUUUUUGUUAAAACAUUUUACUUUCAUAAUAUUUUGAUAUUCUGUUUAAGUUGAAUUACUUUAAGUUAAAGAUCUAUUUAAUCUUGACUAUUUAUAAAUAUUUUAAAUUUUGAAAUUAUAUUUGUUUGGCAUUGUGUUUGUAUUGUAUAAUUUAUAAUUAAUUUAUCUUGAAUUCGAAUUAUGUUUGUUGAAUAUAUAUAUAUAUAUAUGAACAGUACAACCCCGAAACGGUACGUCGAAACACUCCGAAAUUGAAACAUUCCAUUCUAAUUGAAAAAAUAAAACACCUACCGAAACGGAAUUGACAACCUUGAAAAUACGACAACCCAAGAUGGGCGGGGAGAGGGCCAAUGGCUGGGUCGAUGCCACUACAAAAUUCCCUUUGUGGCUUAGAUAAUAACCGUUGAGUGUUUAGUUAUAGUUAACAAUGCGAUAAACUGGUACUGGCUAAGUUUUUGACUGCUAAAACAAUGUUUGUUUAAUAUUUAAUUUUUUUAUUUUAAAUUAAUUUUUUUUAAUGUGUUUGUUUGUUUUUAUAUAUUAAUUUUAAAAAAUAAAAAAUAUCAUCUUAAUUUAAUUCUGAAAAAAAAAAACAUUUUAAAACAUAGUUUCCAAAAACAAAAACCGCGACAGGUUCACUGCGUCAAGAUUCUACCAACUUAUCGAGGACGAACAUUCCUAACUUUAUUCCAAGUUGGAAACGUCGCUUCUCCUUAAUUUUAUAACCAGCAAAAGCUAAUUCAUCGCUGAUAGUCUCGUUUAGAAACCCUAAUGACUCAACAAAGUCCACAUCUUGGGUAAAAGAUUUAUUAUGAUGCCAUAUUGUCCCAAUCUUGGAUGAGUAGAGGCAUGCAUUCCGGUGUCAACUACUACCUCCAAUUACAUUAUUCACUAGUUAAAUCUGGUUCACUUUUCACUAACCAUGGGAUCAAAUAAAAGUAUGUGUCUUUGGCAUGUGUUUAAUAAAGAUUGGUUCUACUAUCAUCACUAACAAUACAUAACCCACAAAAUCUAAAACAAAUAUAACUUUUGUAGAGAUUCAAUGUCACUCUAGGCCUUUUUUUCCCAAAGUACUAGACUAAAAUUCUCCCUUGAUCUCCUUAUCUUUACAUGAAUAAUACACUCACAUGAGUUCAAAACUAUAUAAAUAACUUUGAAUCUUGAUGUAAGAAAAUAUUCCUUUUUACAAUAUUAUCCUUCAUACAAAAACUAUAUAUUCUUCCUUAAGUUAUGUAGCACACACAUCACACAAUCUCAUUAGACUUCUUUUCUCUAGGUAUUAAAGGGUUUCUUAAACCCAUAAAAAUAACUUAUUAUACCGAUGUUUUCAUUAUCCAAGCCUAACACUAUAGGAGAAAUUUUAUAGUGCUUUGAUAGUAACUAAUAGUUACUUUCAAUGUCCACUUUAAAGAUAAAAAUAGAGACAAGUUAGAGAAAAAUCUUAGAUAAAGAUAUUCUUAUCAAUUUUAGUGUUCAUGAAUCUCAUUAAUUAUCUCUGUUAUUUUUAUGUCCUUGCUUUUAGCAAAUGUUCGGAGGAAAGAACACAGCACGAUCACUUCCUUCAUCCUUUUCCUGCUUUCUUCUGUCUUUAAGCAAGAAGCGAGUUCAGCGGCAUUUCUUAUCCAAGCCUUAGUUUUCUGUCUUCGACCAUAAUAAUUCUUUGAAAAUGUUUCCCCAUAAGCAAAGACAAGGGAGAUUCUUUUAUAUCUGAUACACCAUGUUGUCUUUGUUUUCCUUCACUGAGGCCACACGUUAUCCAGAAUUUAAUUAAAGCAGGCUAUUAACAAGGCUGCUGGCCUUUUCAGACAUCUUUUGAUAGCUGAUGAAUGUGAUCAACUAAAUUAAAGUUGUUACAGUCCUAUUUAUGAUACAGCAAUUGCACAACAUCAGAAUAUCUAGGGCUACUGACUUCUGCAAUAAUCUUGCACACAAACCUAAUGGAACCUAUUGAGAAAAUAUGUAGACAAAUCCUACAGAAAAAAAAAAAGCAAACUACUCGAAUAUUUCAUACAAACCGAUGUGCCCGUUGUUUUUUCCUUGAUCGAUCAAUCAUUUGAUGUUUUUCAGACCCACUGAUCACCACUUAUCAUACCAGUUUGUAUGAUUUUUUGUCUGUCAAUCUUUUUCUGCACAAAAUUACAGUUUUCUAGGCUGAAUCCAAAUCAAUGAACCCAAGAUGUCAAGUGUCACUUUUUCUGAUGAUGGGAAUCCAUAAAUGAUAAGCAAGUUGGGAGGUCAUUGGCAUAAAUACCAAAGGAAUUCUUCACUUGCCUGCAAAUUCGAUUAUCCUCUUUGAAAUCAUAGUCCUUCCAAGGAUUAUGUCAUGGUUGCACCUAUGAGCUUGGGCAGCUAAAUCCUCAAAAGUUUCCAUGAACACUGCCAUCUUCUUCUUGAUCUCAUCUAUCACAAGUUUCACAACAUCUACUUCUCUGAUAGCUAAGUCAGCAUGGUGAAAGAGGGACUUGAUUUCUAUUUCCAAUUUGUUGACAAGCACCCGUAUACUGUCCAUGUCCUUGAUUGUAAUGAAAGUUCCAACCUGAAUUGUAUUCACCAACACCUUCUGCUCCUUCAACGCGUUCUCAUACCGAUGCCAAAGCAAGUUACACCACGUCCCCACCGAGUGCAUUGGGUCAGCCAGAGCACCGGCCAAAGCAGUUACAACAGGUGGUGCAGCAAUGGCAGCUGCUGCAACUGCAAAAAUCAUCACGGUGACAAAAACGGACACAAAUAAAACAUUCGACACUCUCCUCCAGAUCUUCACCGAUUUCAAUUUCUUAUCAAGCUUCCUCUUAUGAGAUUGCAAUUUCUUCAACAUGGAGACCUGCUGUUCAUAAACCGAUUGGAACAGCAUAAAGAAUUUGGGGGUAAACGGAUCCCCUGCAACCAUAAAAUUCUGUAAUUCUUCUAAUGUCUUGACGUACUUCUUCUCAAUCACCCCAUCUUGCAAUUCCACCUCCUUCUCAAAAUGCGCAAUGGCAGCCAAUAUAUUCAACUGGCUAGUUCGAGCACUUGUAACACAGCUUUCUAGUUCAGUGCAGAAAUCCAUAGUUUUGAUGCUACUCUCGAAGUAUUCCUCAACCAAAGCAAACAAAUCCGGAUUAUUCCAGAUAUCUUCUUUGCUUUCUAGUAUGAAUUUAACCACAUCUUGGUUCAUUUCAAGAAGGCAAUUAGUGACCACUUUGAAUGAGCCUGUGGAUCCCGUGGCAAUAUCAGCAGUGCUAAGUGAGUUUAUGACAUGGUUAGUCUUCUCCAUGAGGUUGGCAUCAAAGGAUUGCAAGCAUGGAUCUAGCUUACAAGCAUCCUCGUAGGAGCUAAAAUCUUCCGCGAAUUGGGAAUGGGUGCUGCUUUGAACAGGUGGUGGUGGGAUAUCACCGCCUCUAGUCUUGCAAGAUUG